CUCAGGACGAACGCUGGCGGCGUGCUUAACACAUGCAAGUCGAGCGGUAAGGCCUUUCGGGGUACACGAGCGGCGAACGGGUGAGUAACACGUGGGUGAUCUGCCCUGCACUUCGGGAUAAGCCUGGGAAACUGGGUCUAAUACCGGAUAUGACCUCAGGUUGCAUGACUUGGGGUGGAAAGAUUUAUCGGUGCAGGAUGGGCCCGCGGCCUAUCAGCUUGUUGGUGGGGUAAUGGCCUACCAAGGCGACGACGGGUAGCCGACCUGAGAGGGUGACCGGCCACACUGGGACUGAGACACGGCCCAGACUCCUACGGGAGGCAGCAGUGGGGAAUAUUGCACAAUGGGCGAAAGCCUGAUGCAGCGACGCCGCGUGAGGGAUGACGGCCUUCGGGUUGUAAACCUCUUUCAGCAGGGACGAAGCGCAAGUGACGGUACCUGCAGAAGAAGCACCGGCUAACUACGUGCCAGCAGCCGCGGUAAUACGUAGGGUGCAAGCGUUGUCCGGAAUUACUGGGCGUAAAGAGUUCGUAGGCGGUUUGUCGCGUCGUUUGUGAAAACCAGCAGCUCAACUGCUGGCUUGCAGGCGAUACGGGCAGACUUGAGUACUGCAGGGGAGACUGGAAUUCCUGGUGUAGCGGUGAAAUGCGCAGAUAUCAGGAGGAACACCGGUGGCGAAGGCGGGUCUCUGGGCAGUAACUGACGC
rnacentral:rRNA from 1 species